AGACCAGCCCUACUUAUCACAGAAGAAGCUUUGCAGGAGAGAGCAGACUUUCUGGAUCAGUUUAGCCACGGACCUGGCAAGGGAGGCCAGGAUCACAGGAACCAGCAGAGACAAUGACAUCAGAGCUGUGACAUCACUGCCUAACCUCCAAUCAGAGAAGGGAUGCGCAGAACUUCAUCUCUUAGGGGACCAGAACUCUGAGCGGGGAGAUGCCUGCUCAGUUCUGUCCCACCCUGCCAUGGGCUCCAGGCUCCUGUGCUGUGUGGCUCUUUGUCUCCUGGGAACAGGCCCAGUAGAUUCUGGAGUCACCCAAACACCAAGACAUCUGAUUAAAGCAAGAGGACAGCAAGUGACACUGAGAUGUUCUCCUAUCUCUGGGCACAACCGUGUAUUUUGGUACCAACAGCCACUGGGCCAGGGCCCCCAGUUCCUCUUUUACUAUUACAAUGGGAAAGAGAAUGAAAAAGGAGAUGUUCCGGCUCGAUUCUCAGGGCAGCAGUUCAGCGACUAUCGCUCUGAGCUGAAUGUGAGCGUCCUGGAGCUGAAGGACUCGGCCCUGUAUCUCUGUGCCAGCAGCUCAGCACAGCCCUGCAGAGUCACCAGUGUUCUGUGCACAAACCUCCCUGCCCCAGCGUGGAACAAGCUCAGAGCUGACAGAUCUGUGAGGACCUCAGGGCAGCAGUGGGAGAGAAGACUGAGUUAGGGCCCUGGAAAGUGC